rnacentral:tRNA from 1 species
GUCUAUAUAGCUCAGUUGGUAGAGCAUGAGACUCUUAAUCUCAGCGCCAAGGGUUCGAGCCCCACGUUGGGCG